rnacentral:lncRNA from 12 species
AUGACGGAUGCGGGCGGAGAGGGGGUGAAGACUUCUCUCCUGCAGGUGCGCCCCGAGGGGGAGAGGGGAUCCGCCAACAGCCCCGCCACGCAGGCCGCGUGGAGAUUCAGGACAGGUAGUGGGGUCCGGGCCCCGUGGGGGUCCACGUGGACGCAGGAGAUGAGCCCCGACCCGGGCCCAGGGCCCCCAAGCUCCGCAGCGCCCCGGGGUGCCCUUGGUGUCCCUGCAGACCCCCCUCCUGUGCGCUGCUGGGCUCUGCGGAUCCUCCAGCGGCUGCGCUUCCCGAUGACCGGGAGACCCGGAGGAGAUAAGCCGUCUGCCGAGAGCCCCAGGAGAAGCAGCAUCAGGAUUCGGGUUCGGGCCCGGGGCCUCGGAGGCCGUCCGUGUAACCCUGUCCUGUACCUGAACAUCAGGAGGCCGCGUGUUCCCGGGCGGGCGGGCGAUGGGCUGCUGUCGUACCCCUCGCAGUGUCGCCAGCCCGGCUCGUCCGUCGGGUUAAGAGGCGAGUCUUCCAAGGCGGAGUCUUUGUAUUUUGUGGCAAUUGUACGAAAGCUGGGCUUGGCCCAGUUUUCCCUUCUCGACUCCCGAGGGUACGUCUUGCCCGGGAGGCUGAGGCGCCCAGUAGAGGCCACCGGGCCGGGCGGCCUCCCCCCCACAUGCACCUGCCUCUUGCUGUGGUUUCCGAAAUCGGGCCUCGGGCGUCGGGGAAGGAUGCAGCCUGCGGCGCGACGGGCCCUUCCUCACCCAGAGGGAGGUGUUGGUCUCUACCGCACGGCUCCCUGGGCCACACGGUUGGAUUCCGCUCAGUACAGAGCGGGUCACGGGCAGCGGAGGCCUGGGGAGCGCCCAGGGGCCUCGGAGCGGAGCCGAGCGCAGGGCCAGGUCCACCCUGCGCGGGACCUGGGGCGGGAAGGAGGCAGUGAUGUAGGUCACCCCGGCCUCGGUGAGGGACGCACGACUGUGUCUGCAGCUGCGGGCCAGGACCCGGGAGCAGGGAGCCGGGAGCAGGGAGCCGGGAGCCCAGAGCCGGGAUCCAGGAGCCGGGAGCUGGGAGCUGGGAUCCAGGAGCCGGGAGCCGAGGGCCAGGAGCCAGAAUCAAGGAGCUGGGAGCCGGGAGACAGGAGACGGGAGCCACAAUCGAGGAUACAGGAGCCGGGAGCAGAGGGCCAGGAGCCGGAAGUCGGGAGCCAGGAGCUGGGAGCCGAGGGCCAGGACCCGGGAGCUGGGAUCCAGGAGCCAGGAUCCAGGGGCCAGCAGCCGGGAUCCAGGAGCUGGGAGCCGGGAGCCUGA